rnacentral:rRNA from 1 species
CGGGAUAACAACCUGGAAACAGAUGCUAAUACCGGAUAACAACAGAUGAUGCCUAUCAACUGUUUAAAAGAUGGUUCUGCUAUCACUCUUGGAUGGACCUGCGGUGCAUUAGCUAGUUGGUAGGGUAACGGCCUACCAAGGCGAUGAUGCAUAGCCGAGUUGAGAGACUGAUCGGCCACAUUGGGACUGAGACACGGCCCAAACUCCUACGGGAGGCAGCAGCG